rnacentral:lncRNA from 1 species
AAGAACAUAAAAUGAUAUUCAUUUUAUUUAUUAGAGGAUGAAAAAAAUACAGCAUUCACACUUUGAUAUAGCAAAAGGCCAGACACAACAAGGAAAGAAAAGAAAAAGGAUAACAACCUCAUUGAAUGAUGAUGACUCUGGAAGUAGGAACUAAAGACUCUCUUUAACAUGCUACAUUAUCACAUGAAGAACAUUUUAGUUGUAGGCAUCUGGGUUGGCCACAAGGUGGUUUUCAAUAAGCUUGAACAAACCAGAGGCUCUCUCUUUGCCAGCCUUAACUUGCUCUUCCUUGAUCUCAACAUCUCCCUUUGUGUGGUAGUUGCUGGUGUUCUUUAUGAUGGAACCUCCAUCAGCAGAUGCCACCAACUUAAUCUCAUAACAGACUUUCUCAAUGGUUUCAGAUAUAGCAUCUCCUUCAAUCAAACUGUAGCUGUAGACAAAGUUUUCUUUGUCAAUGCUGUCAAUCUGAUGCUUCACAUAGCUGUAUUGGCUUCCUUCACCAAGGGUAAUCUUCUUGAUGGUUCCUACCCCUCCAUCUCCUUGAACAAUUUCUGAGCUUUUGAUUGCUUGUGAGGCAAUCUUCGGGAUGAGGUUGUCGGCAUCAAGAACAAAGGCCUUGAACAAUCUUGGUGGUGGGAUGACAGAGGUGAACUCAGUUUCAUAAGUGAACACACCCAUGAUUAUGAUGAUGAUUUAAGAGCUUAGAAAAUGUGAUCAAAGAAAGAAUGGAUUCUGUAGAGGUGAUUAAAUUGAUCUUAGAAAG